GGAGUUAGCCGGUGCUUCUUCUGUGAGUGAUGUCCUUCCUGCCGGUUAUUGACCCGCAGGCCUUCUUCCUCACUGAAAGUGCUUUACAACCCGAAGGCCUUCUUCACACACGCGGCAUGGCUGGAUCAGGGUUGCCCCCAUUGUCCAAUAUUCCCCACUGCUGCCUCCCGUAGGAGUCUGGGCCGUGUCUCAGUCCCAGUGUGGCUGAUCAUCCUCUCAGACCAGCUACGGAUCGUCGCCUUGGUGAGCCGUUACCUCACCAACCAGCUAAUCCGACAUAGGCUCAUCCGAUAGCGCGAGGCCCGAAGGUCCCCCGCUUUCCCCCGUAGGGCGUAUGCGGUAUUAGCCUGGGUUUCCCCAGGUUAUCCCCCACUACCGGGCAGAUUCCUAUGCAUUACUCACCCGUCCGCCGCUCGCCACCAGGGAGCAAGCUCCCCGUGCUGCCGCUCGACUUGCAUGUGUAGCUCGCCGCCACGCGUCAUCUGAGCGAGAUACAACUACUCGA
rnacentral:rRNA from 1 species